GACGAACGCUGGCGGCGUGCUUAACACAUGCAAGUCGAACGGAAAGGCCCUGCUUUUGUGGGGUGCUCGAGUGGCGAACGGGUGAGUAACACGUGAGUAACCUGCCCUUGACUUUGGGAUAACUUCAGGAAACUGGGGCUAAUACCGGAUAGGAGCUCCUGCUGCAUGGUGGGGGUUGGAAAGUUUCGGCGGUUGGGUAUGGACUCGCGGCUUAUCAGCUUGUUGGUGGGGUAGUGGCUUACCAAGGCUUUGACGGGUAGCCGGCCUGAGAGGGUGACCGGCCACAUUGGGACUGAGAUCCGGCCCAGACUCCUACGGGAGGCAGCAGUGGGGAAUAUUGCACAAUGGGCGGAAGCCUGAUGCAGCAACGCCGCGUGCGGGAUGACGGCCUUCGGGUUGUAAACCGCUUUCGCCUGUGACGAAGCGUGAGUGACGGUAAUGGGUAAAGAAGCACCGGCUAACUACGUG
rnacentral:rRNA from 1 species